rnacentral:rRNA from 1 species
UACGAAGGGGGCUAGCGUUGUUCGGAAUUACUGGGCGUAAAGCGCACGUAGGCGGAUAUUUAAGUCAGGGGUGAAAUCCCAGAGCUCAACUCUGGAACUGCCUUUGAUACUGGGUAUCUCGAGUAUGGAAGAGGUGAGUGGAAUUCCGAGUGUAGAGGUGGAAUUCGUAGAUAUUAGGAAGAACACCAGUGGCGAAGGCGGCUUACUGGUCCGGAACUGACGCUGAGGUGCGAAAGCGUGGGGAGCAAACAGG